rnacentral:tRNA from 1 species
GGUAAGGUGGCUGAGUAGGCGGUAGACUGUAAAUCUACCCACGAGAGGAGACUCUCCCUUAUCA